UCAAGGCUGAGCAAAAGCCAACAUGUGGAAGGUGGUGAGGCUGGUUCUGAGCUUCAACCUGAGGCUUGCUUGCAACUGCAACCAGCCAACGAACCAACAGCUACGGUUGAACCAUUUCACCAAUCCUUCCAUUACACUGCAUCUCAUCUCAUGGGCACAUAUAUAUACCAGGCCAUGGGUGGCAUAUUGUUGUCCUCUGUCUUGUUGGAACUUCAUAAGCUCUCAGCAGCAGCAGCAGCAUCACUGAAGCAGGGUGAAGCUGGGAACAAGGCAAGGCAUGGUUCCUUUCAAAGGGGAGCAUAUAUGCUUAAUUUGUCGCAGAGAAUGGUGUCUCGGAGGGGGUUUGGAUCCAUCGUCCUUGCUAAGAAAUCCUAGUAAGGAAAUAUUCUCGGAAUUGGACGAAAUCAACGCCCAGGAUCUUAUUUUUCCACGAAGCUUCCAGAACACUGGGGGAGAUACGAAGUGGGGCGACGAGGCGGCCAGACGCUAGGGCGGCGUGGCCCAAGCCCUGGCCGCGCCGGCCUAGUGUGUGGGCCCCUCGCGUCGCCCCUAAACCUACCUCUCCGACUAUAAGAAGCCUUCGUCGAUAAUAACUCCAGUACCGAGAGCCACGAUACGGAAAACCUUCCAGAGACACCGCCGCCGCCAAUCCCAUCUCGGGGGAUUCAGGAGAUCGCCUCCGGCACCCUGCCGGAGAGGGGAAUCAUCUCCCGGAGGAGUCUUCAUCGCCAUGGUCGCCUCCAGAGUGAUGAGUGAGUAGUUCACCCCUGGACUAUGGGUCAAUAGCAGUAGCUAGAUGGUCGUCUUCUCCUAAUUGUGCUUCAUUGUUGGAUCUUGUGAGCUGCCUAACAUGAUCAAGAUCAUCUAUCUGUAAUGCUAUAUGUUGUGUUUGUUGGGAUCCGAUGAAUAGAGAAUACUAUGCUAUGUUGAUUAUCAAUCUAUUAUCUAUGUGUUGUUUAUGAUCUUACA